rnacentral:lncRNA from 1 species
UAAUUGCCUGUGAUUUUCUCAUGAAUCAGCAAGUACAUAAAAGCAAGCUCUCAGGAAUUUGAAGGAGGUCUCUGCACCCUCUCCCACGUCGGACCCUUCUUUGUGAAGUGCACAAUAUUAUUACUAAGGUGCAGUAUUGGCUCAAUAUAUUGAAAAGGAUGAUCAUCAAAAAACUACCUGAAAGGUGCCACCAAACAAGAAAUGCUAGUGGCAGAAUCUAGCAAGAUGGUAGAAGACAAAGAAACAAAGAGCAUGAACUCCAGACUUUUCUUCAGGCAAAAUCAAGCAGAUGUGAUGAUGGAC